GACGAACGCUGGCGGCGUGCUUAACACAUGCAAGUCGAGCGGUAAGGCCCUUCGGGUACGACGAGCGGCGAACGGGUGAGUAACACGUGGGUGACCUGCCUCUAGCUCUGGGAUAAGCCUGGGAAACUGGGUCUAAUACCGGAUAUGACUCCACGGCGCAUGUUGUGGGGUGGAAAGCCUUGUGUGGCUAGAGAUGGGCCCGCGGCCUAUCAGCUUGUUGGUGGGGUGAUGCCUACCAAGGCGACGACGGGUAGCCGGCCUGAGAGGGCGACCGGCCACACUGGACUGAGACACGGCCCAGACUCCGUACGGGAGGCAGCAGUGGGGAAUUGUUCGCAAUGGGCGCAAGCCUGACGACGCAACGCCGCGUGGAGGAUGAAGGACUUCGGUCCGUAAACUCCUUUCG
rnacentral:rRNA from 1 species